CAACCUGGCGGCGUGCUUACCAUGCAAGUCGAGCGGAAAGGCCCUUUCGGGGGUACUCGAGCGGCGAACGGGUGAGUAACACGUGAGUAAUCUGCCCUUCACUUCGGGAUAGCCACCGGAAACGGUGAUUAAUACCGGAUAUGACAUGGACUCGCAUGGGUUUGUGUGGAAAGUUUUUCGGUGAGGGAUGUGCUCGCGGCCUAUCAGCUUGAUGGUGAGGUAAUGACUCACCAUGGCUUCGACGGGUAGCCGGCCUGAGAGGGUGACCGGUCACACUGGGACUGAGACACGGCCCAGACUCCUACGGGAGGCAGCAGUGGGGAAUAUUGGACAAUGGGCGGAAGCCUGAUCCAGCAACGCCGCGUGAGGGAUGACGGCCUUCGGGUUGUAAACCUCUUUCAGUACCGACGAAGCGAGAGUGACGGUAGGUACAGAAGAAGCACCGGCCAACUACGUGCCAGCAGCCGCGGUAAU
rnacentral:rRNA from 1 species